rnacentral:rRNA from 1 species
GAUGAACGCUGGCGGCGUGCCUAAUACAUGCAAGUCGAGCGAACGGACGAGAAGCUUGCUUCUCUGAUGUUAGCGGCGGACGGGUGAGUAACACGUGGAUAACCUACAUAUAAGACUGGGAUAACUUCGGGAAACCGGAGCUAAUACCGGAUAAUAUUUUGAACCGCAUGGUUCAAAAGUGAAAGACGGUCUUGCUGUCACUUAUAGAUGGAUCCGCGCUGCAUUAGCUAGUUGGUAAGGUAACGGCUUACCAAGGCAACGAUGCAUAGCCGACCUGAGAGGGGGAUCGGCCACCCUGGAACUGAGACACGGCCCAGACUCCUAGGGGAGGCAGCAGUAGGGAAUUUUCCGCAAGGGGCGAAAGCCUGACGGAGCAACGCCGCGUGAGGGAUGAAGGUCUGCGGAUCGAAAACCUCUUUUAUUAGGGAAAAAAAUAUGUGUAAGUAACUGGGCACAUUUUGACGGUACCAAAUCAAAAAGCCACGGCUAACUACG